rnacentral:rRNA from 1 species
CCAGACUCCUACGGGAGGCAGCAGUGGGGGAUAUUGCACAAUGGGGGGAACCCUGAUGCAGCGACGCCGCGUGGGCGAGGAAGUAUUUCGGUAUGUAAAGCCCUAUCGGCAGGGAAGAAGAAAUGACGGUACCUGAAUAAGAAGCACCGGCUAAAUACGUGCCAGCAGCCGCGGUAAUACGUAUGGUGCAAGCGUUAUCCGGAUUUACUGGGUGUAAAGGGCGUGUAGCCGGGUUGACAAGUCAGAUGUGAAAUCCUGCGGCUUAACCGCAGAACUGCAUUUGAAACUGUUGAUCUUGAGUACUGGAGAGGCAGACGGAAUUCCUAGUGUAGCGGUGAAAUGCGUAGAUAUUAGGAGGAACACCAGUGGCG